rnacentral:rRNA from 1 species
UACGUAGGGUGCGAGCGUUGUCCGGAAUUACUGGGCGUAAAGAGCUCGUAGGUGGUUUGUCGCGUUGUCCGUGAAAACUCACAACUCAAUUGUGGGCGUGCGGGCGAUACGGGCAGACUGGAGUACUGCAGGGGAGACUGGAAUUCCUGGUGUAGCGGUGGAAUGCGCAGAUAUCAGGAAGAACACCCGUGGCGAAAGCGGCUCUCUGGAACGGUACUGACGCUGAGACGCGAAAGCGUGGGGAGCGAACAGG